rnacentral:lncRNA from 10 species
AGAGAAAAAGCAAGCUCUGUCUCCACACAAGAGAUCCCUUCAUUCUUCAGCAAUGGAUCAAAGAACUCUGAAAACAAGAACAACCCCGACAGCUGCAAACCACGAGCCCUCACCUCCAGCAGAGGUUUUCGGGAAACUCUGGACGACCACGCGCAUGCAGAGGGUGACCUGCAGAAUACUCAUGGAGGAGGUCUGCUUUGAGUUGUGGCUUGGAGAGAUGAAGAAAAUAAUAGAGCAAACAUUGACAUGGAACCUACUAUGUGCAGAUUCAUUGCUAUACUGACCUCUCAUUGACUGAAACUUUACAUCAAGGCUCAGGGACUGUAAACCCACCGCAGCUUGGAAUAUGGAAUAUGGAUGUUGAGAUACACACUUCAGUUCCUGAACUCAGUAAUGAAAUCGCCCCCAGAGUUCUCAUGCCAGCAUUCAGCUAGCUGCAACUUUCUCCUGCUUGCCUUCUAAGGAGAUUAAGAACGGGCAUUUUAUUUUGUUUCCGUUUUAGUUUAUUUGAAGGUUUUAUGAUGUCUUGGUUGAGUGGCUCGUGGGACUUGCAAAUAAACAUGCUGCCUUUAAAAAU